ensembl:lincRNA
GAAAAGACUGGCAGUUCCUUGUGCUCAUUUACUGCUAACAAAGCCUUUUUAAUGUCUCAUCCAAAGCCAGAAUUUCAUGUAUUGUAUUGUUAGAACAACAGUCCCUCCACUGAACUGAAUUGUUGAUCUCCUUUUCAAGCACACGCUCUUCUGUAACAGGAAUAAGGCAUUACUACAUGAAAAGAUGCAUCGUGCUGGAGAAGAAAAUCAAUAUUGGCCUGUGAAAAACCCAAGUGAAAAUAUCUUGAACGACAUAUGACAUUCAAUAGAAACUUCGCAGCACAUAAAAGGAUCAAGUAACAUUUAACAUCCUGAUGAAGAGCAUGCUGCUGAAAACACUGCUCUGGAAAGUGGUGACUCUUUGAUGCUUCCCCAUAUGCCCAAAUUCCAAGGAGAAAUCUCCCAACUAACAGGUUCCAUUGAAGAUUUGAUGAAGGCGAAGAAUCUGCAACACCUUUUGGACCUUUGGGCUCACACCAUUGAUACCUCUGAUCUUGAUGACAAAGGCCAAUUUGGGUUCUGCAGAGAAAGAAGUCAAUGGAUUAUAACACUGAGGAGAUUCUUGGAUGAUUCCUCUGAGACGGGAAUAACACAACCCAGAAAAUGUGUUGAGCAUUCAGGUGUAAGUAGAAGAUGUCUGUGGUUCCUCUACCACAUUAUGAAUCCUGUUCUCCAAACUCUAGAGGCACCAUUCAGACAGAAGAAAUCAAUUUCAGACACGAUGGGAUAACAGUUUUCAACUCACUGGGCUGCAAGUUUGCAGUCCUUCCAGCAGCUUCUGAACUCUCUGCCUUUGCCUGCCGUGCAGGAGGGAAGCUGAGAGCCCUUUCCUGCCUGCACUGCCCUGGAGCUCAGGUGGGUUGCAAGGCCCCAGUGAGGUUGAGCAGAGAAUGCACAGCUGGAGCAUGGUUUACGGAACAGGACAAACUGUAUGGCGGACCUAUGAUGAUACAUAUUCUUAAAGAGAAUAAUAUUCAACCU